GACCAAAAAUUGCAGUCGCCGGUC
rnacentral:siRNA from 1 species